rnacentral:rRNA from 1 species
UACGGAGGGUGCAAGCGUUAUCCGGAUUCAUUGGGUUUAAAGGGUGCGCAGGCGGAAUGAUAAGUCAGUGGUGAAAUCCUACGGCUCAACCGUAGACCUGGCAUUGAUACUGUUUUUCUUGAGUACAGUGGAAGUGGGCGGAAUGUAUCAUGUAGCGGUGAAAUGCAUAGAUAUGAUACAGAACUCCGAUAGCGAUAGCAGCUCACUAUACUGAAACUGACGCUCAUGCACGAAAGCGUGGGGAGCAAACAGG